rnacentral:sRNA from 1 species
AAUUCUGCCCCUAACAAAUUACUGUGUCAGGAAGAGCAUGGCAACAUGAGCAGUGCUGAGAUAAUUCGUUCUACAAAUCUUAUAAUUCUGCUAGAGGAUGAAAUCUUUGCCGAUUUUUUCAACACAUUUCUUUCCCUCCCGGUUUUUGGUCAGACACCAUUUUAUACUGUUGAAAAUUCACAGUGGAGCUUGUGGCCAGAAAUGCCUUGUAACUUGAUUGCCAAAUACAAAGGGUUAUUGACCUGGUUGGAAAAAUACCGAUUACAUUUCUUCUGUAAAACAAACUUGUGUUUCCAUUACAUUCUCUGUCAGGAGUUCAUCAGUUUCAUUAAGUCCCCAGAAGGAGAAGCCAGAGUGAGCCUCUUAAAAAGUAAUUGGUGGUGGUGCUGGAGGGACUUCCAGGAAGAUGAUGAAAUAGGAAGCACUAGGAAUCUGUUUCCUCAUCUAGACAACAAUUGUACUGGCAGAAUCUGUAUGAUCCAAGAUGAUGAGAUGGAAAAAGGCAGACCAGUGGCUACUCCAGAAAUGCAUUGGCGGGGUCAGAGGGAUGUGGCGCUUCUAUUCCUACCUCACAGGCAGUGCAGGUGAA